rnacentral:rRNA from 1 species
GUGGGGAAUCUUCCGCAAUGGACGAAAGUCUGACGGAGCAACGCCGCGUGAGUGAUGAAGGUCUUCGGAUUGUAAAGCUCUGUUAAUCGGGACGAAAGAGCCUAGUGUGAAUAAUGCUAGGAAGUGACGGUACCGGAAUAGAAAGCCACGGCUAACUACGUGCCAGCAGCCGCGGUAAUACGUAGGUGGCAAGCGUUGUCCGGAAUUAUUGGGCGUAAAGCGCGCGCAGGCGGAUCGGCCAGUCUGUCUUAAAAGUUCGGGGCUUAACCCCGUGAUGGGAUGGAAACUACAGAUCUAGAGUAUCGGAGAGGAAAGUGGAAUUCCUAGUGUAGCGGUGAAAUGCGUAGAUAUUAGGAAGAACACCAGUGGCGAAGGCGACUUUCUGGACGAAAACUGACGCUGAGGCGCGAAAGCCAGGGGAGCGAACGGGAUUAGAUACCCGAGUAGUCC